UCUUUCUUACUCACUGGGAAAAAAACAUCUCCUGAUUAAUGUUCGGCCAUUGAGCCAUGUACAUUUUACAACUGGCUGCAUGAAUAACUUGCAGCGACGAAGCGUGGUAUUGUAAUGUCGUGAAAGACUCAUUUACACGACAUGGCACAUGCCCUCAAAGCCUUCAUACGUACACACUAUGUAUAUGGAAUGUUGCAAAAAAUAUUGAAAUCAAGCUACAAACUUGAUUCCUCGGACCUCAGUCGGUGCUCGAAUCAUUCAGGCUUCCCAGCAGCUUCCAUCAUUGUCUUUGCUUGCAUCAGCUUCUCAAUCCGACUCACAAUCUGAAAAAAGAAAAUCGAAAUGUGUCCAACGUCACCAUUAGCUAUAUUCAUGAUAAGUUAUUCACACACAAAAAGUCCUAAAUUUGUGUCCAAUAGUGUAGGCACACUAUGCUUAUAUUGCAAUACCUCAACGACCGUGUCCUCCAGGAUCAAAGAGUCGAUGCUGCUGUAGCCUAGCUGAGAAGCCAC
rnacentral:lncRNA from 1 species